GCUCCGGUGGCCUGAUAGUUAGAGUGUCCGCCUCGGGUGCGGGAGAUCGCAGGUGCGAACCCCGGUCGAGGCA